GUGUGAUAAUUAAAUAGAUGUAUAUAAACGGUUGGCAUCCUUUUUAAGAAGAUGUAGUACUUGAACAUGUUGAGAUUACGGGUUUGCUAACCAAGUUAUUAUUGAGCAUGUUUGAAAGUGCAGGUUUAUGUAUGUCGGACUUUCGAAGUAUUGAUAUAGAAAUGAAACGAUUGAAUGUUGGAAGGAUAAUUGGGUGGAAGUAACUUAUGCGGUUAGAAUUUUAGUUUAUACAAUAUUUUAUGCUUGGUCGUCAUCAUCUACUAACGGGUAAAUCCUCAAUUUAGGCGACUUGGAGAAUCGGAGCGAGCGCGUGUUCAUGUUAUGUCAUACCAAACGCUUCCGCUAGUUUGUCCAAAUGUUUUUGGUCCAAAAUUUGUUGUAAUGGUUUUUAGUAGUAUUUUGUUGAACGAAUCGUAGAAUUGUAUCUAGUUUGAUUAUGAUUAAAACAGGGGUAUGCCCGUUUUACGGACGGGUCAUGCCCAAAUUUUGUUAAAAUUAAUGCAUAUGUUAUUGAUAUCA